rnacentral:rRNA from 1 species
AGGAUAGAGGCCUACCAUGGCUUUAACGGGUAACGGGGAAUUAGGGUUCGAUUCCGGAGAGGGAGCCUGAGAAACGGCUACCACAUCCAAGGAAGGCAGCAGGCGCGCAAAUUACCCAAUCCCGGCACGGGGAGGUAGUGACAAUAAAUAACAAUACGGGGCUCACUUGGGUCUCGUAAUUGGAAUGAGUACAAUUUAAAUCUCUUAACGAGGAACAAUUGGAGGGCAAGUCUGGUGCCAGCAGCCGCGGUAAUUCCAGCUCCAAUAGCGUAUAUUAAAGUUGUUGCAGUUAAAAAGCUCGUAGUUGAACUUCGGGGUUUACCCAUUGGUCAGGCUUAAUUGUCUGUACUGGUGAGAUAAAUCUCUACCUUCUGAGGAACUUUCAUGUCAUUAAUUUGGUGUGAUUGGAAAUCAGGACUGUUACUUUGAAAAAAUUAGAGUGUUUAAAGCAGGCUAACGUCUGAAUACAUUAGCAUGGAAUAAUGAAAUAGGACGGAUUGAUUCUAUUUCGUUGGUUUCUAGGAUCACCGUAAUGAUUAAUAGGGAUAGUUGGGGGCAUUAGUAUUCAAUUGUCAGAGGUGAAAUUCUUGGAUUUAUUGAAGACUAACUACUGCGAAAGCAUUUGCCAAGGAUGUUUUCAUUAAUCAAGAACGAAAGUUAGGGGAUCGAAGACGAUCAGAUACCGUCGUAGUCUUAACCAUAAACUAUGCCGACUAGGGAUCGGACGAAGU